AUACGGAGGGUGCAAGCGUUAUUCGGAAUCACUGGGCGUAAAGGACGCGUAGGCGGGUUGGCAAGUCAGAUGUGAAAUCCUACAGCUUAACUGUAGAACUGCAUUUGAAACUGCUAACCUAGAGUAUGGGAGGGGGAGGUGGAAUUAGUGGUGUAGGGGUAAAAUCCGUAGAUAUCACUAGGAAUACCGAAAGCGAAGGCGAUCUCCUGGAACAUAACUGACGCUAAGGCGUGAAAGCGUGGGGAGCAAACAGGAUUAGAAACCCCUGUAGUCC
rnacentral:rRNA from 1 species